rnacentral:lncRNA from 1 species
ACUACUAAAGUUGAAAACAAGAUUCUCUUUUUAGAGUGUAACUCUGCUGUUAUGAAAUUAUGAAUACUCAAGAAUUAGCUCAUAAUGUUGUGAUUAAUGCCUUUCUCUUGUUAGAAGAAGGAACGAAUUAAAGAAGAUUGUGCAUCUGGGAAAGAAAAUGAAAAACUCUAGGAAAUUCUUAGAUCCAAUUAGUAAUUGUGGUCACAACACUUAAGAAUGAAUUCAGAAUAUGCAAUUAUACCCAAAACACUUGCAAUGCCUUUUUUUUCAUGUUAUAGAGAAUUAGAGAGACUCUAGAAUUCUUUAUGUCUGUAUUCAAGAAGAAGGAAGAUAAAAUAAUGAAGAAACCAAGUGCAAUUCUAAGACAUAUGUGCCCUGAACCAUUCUUUAUUUGAAUAAAACAUAGAUCCAGACCAUCAUUAGCCCCCUGCAAAAGUUGAGAUAGAUGCUUUGAAGUAACACCUUCUCCCUAUUUGUUUUCAUUAUUUUAACCUAGACUUCGGGAUAGCCUUGUAGCGUUGGUAACAAGUAAACUGUUUCACUACAGGCAGACGGAUUUCUAAGAUAUUUUGGUAGUUUUUAUUAAGUUAGAAAAGCUCAUGAAAUCUUUGCUGGGGCUGAGAGAAUGGAAUUAUCUGAUUAUUAGUAUUAGGUCAACCCUGACUUAAAGUCCCUACUGAUGUCUUUGCAAAAAACUUGGAAAAAGCAGUUUUCUCUCCAGGCCUCAAUAUCUCUUGGGAGCUGUUAUAAAAUGGCAUAACUCAUCUGAAAAAGAAAAAAAGAAACGGAAGGAAACACCUUUCCAUUGAAAAUAUGGUGUGUACGUUUGUAAGUAAAGAUGGUCUAGGAACAGAAUUUGUAAUUAUGCUUCCACAGGAAGUUUGACAGCAACUGGGAAGUUUAGGGCAAGGAGGACAUGAAAUUGAUAAUGCCUUGAGCCCGGCAAUGGGUUUUCCCAGAAGAAAUAAUGCAAAGCCGUUAGAUGAAUGACAGUUUCUAAAGUCUGCACAACCAACUCUUGACAGAUGGAGCACUGCAGAGGCCAUGUGGCACGGGAAUUUCCAAAUUUCCACUCUAAUUUCAUUUGCUUUUUUAAAAACUUUGGCAGCUGAAGUUGCAGCAGCUGACCUCUAACUGCUACCCCGGGGAAACAGGAGGCCGUGUAACGGGCUCUUUAUGAACAAGGGCUGUAGACGGCGCUGGAGAACACAGGCUCCACUAGGGGCCGUGGAGAAGGCCCUGUCCGGAUGUCUACCCGCCAGCACAGAGGGGCUGCCGGCCCUUGCUUUGCAUCUUUAAGGAGGCAGCCUG